AGAGUUUGAUCCUGGCUCAGAAUCAACGCUGGCGGCGUGCCUAACACAUGCAAGUCGCACGAGAAAGCGGGAGCAAUCCUGUGAGUAAAGUGGCGCACGGGUGAGUAACACGUGAAUAAUCUACCUCCGAGUGGGGAAUAACUGAGAGAAAUCUUGGCUAAUACCGCAUAACACUUACGAGUCAAAGCAGCAAUGCGCUU
rnacentral:rRNA from 1 species